AAACCCAUGCCACGGCGAACUUUUGUCGUCGGCGUGUUGGGCAGUCGUCGACCACUCGUCGACGUGGCCUUGAAUCCAUCGGUCAAGUUGAGCGGACGAGAUCCUCUGGGACAUAGACCGUUCAUGCGACCCUAAAGAAUCGAGA
rnacentral:misc_RNA from 1 species